rnacentral:lncRNA from 1 species
GGCAAAUACACACACACAAACACACCCCGAGGGUUUUGCAUUCUGUAAAUUCUACCAAUUAUGGUGAAUUCGCAGCAAGCAUCGGGUCGGCCAUGGAUUCUGGAAAUCGUACCUCUGGCGGUCGUUAUUCUUAUUGUUGCCCACGUCCUUGCUUUGGUUAAAACCAACCUCAAAUCUGUUAUUAUUAAGCAAAAUGAUUCCUAAAUUGAAGUUUCUUUCUAUGUGUUUGUGUGUGUGUGCAGGUUUACUGGAUUUACAAGCUAGCAACCGAGAAGCAGCCUUCGAGAAGGAAAACGCACUAACCUAGUUCAUCAGUUUUUAGUAAUAAAAGGUAAAACCCUAGAUCAUCUGUUUUUUACCGUUUGAUUUCU